UGAUAAUUAUUACCAUGAUAACCUCUCAUUCUCUUAGCUUUAUUACUUAGGAGAGAUAAGGAGAUGGAUCUGAGCAUUUUUGGUGAAGUCUGUUCCCCUCCCUACUUGCAAUGGUACUGCAUCAGUGCACUCAGGAGAAAUGUUUUGAUGAAUUCUUCUUGAAGUCAUAACUGCUUUCAAAAGGAACUUGGAAUGAAGCAUUUCAAAUCCUGAAGGAAACAAUUUCCAACCCAGAUUGAUGCACCCUGCAAAACUAUCACAAUUAAUGGAGAAACAAGAUACUCCCACGACAAAGAAAAACAAAAGAAUUCAUGAUAACCAAUCCAAUCCUAGAAAGAGCACUGAAGAAUACUCUAGAGAGAGAUAAAGAUGACCACGGUUCUCCAGGAACAGCAGCAGAUGGGAAUUGCUAAACAAGGCAGGCAAUUGAACAAAAGGGAAAGGUGGUGGUUGGGGGGGGGGGAACAGCAGAAGACUAGCAUGGCAGACAAGCCAAUGUAUGGCCCGGUUGUAAUCAUUAAUGUAGAUGGAUGGCCUCGAUUCACCAAUAAAAAGAAGCACAGGAAGAGUGGAUCAAGAAACAAGAUCCAUCAAUAUGCGGUGUACAAAACCACAUUUAAUUCAAAAGGAAAUUCAUAGAGCGAAAGUCAAAGGCAGAAAACAGUGCUCCAUGUGACAGAAAACUAGAAAAACCAGGGAUAGCUUUCCCAUCACCCACAGAAUGUAUAAUAAAGAUGGGGCAUCUUUAUACAAUGGAAACCUACUCAACUAUAAAGAGGGAUAAUCUUGAAGCUCUUGUAGGUAAAUGGAUGCAACUUGAGAUCAUGCUCAAUGGUGAAAUAGUUUGGACUCACAUGGGUGAACAUCCUAUUGUGACUCUAGUAUGAAAAACAGAAGGAGUUAGUGAGAACCAAAAUGUUCAAUAGAUAUUGUGAAAAGAGAAGGGAAAGAAAUGGCUUAAAGUGAAGGAACAAUUGCAUUGAGGGAAAUGAGAAAAGAAAGAAUAGAAAAGAUUAUAUACAUAAAAAGGAAUAACUUGUGCUUUCAUUCAUUGAUCAUUUAUCAGGAAUAUAUCUUCUAAUCUUCUAAACAACUACUUUGAAGACAACAAUGAGCAGUGUAUUAACCAAUGUUAAUACCCUAUUAUUCUGUUUUGAAAUUCGGUAUCUUUGUCUCUAUCAUUUCAUCCUCUUCUUCCCCUUCUGCUCCUUCCCCUUCCCCUUCUCCUCCUUCUCCUCCUUCUUCUUCUUUUCAUUUUAAAAUUAAAAAAGAAAAGUAUAUGAAACAUCAAAUUAGCAUACAACAUGUCUUUGUACUUCUGGAUACAUAACGAAAAUUUCAAAGCAGAGAAUUAAAGUGAUAUUUAUACACUCACACAUAACAUUAUUCUCAAGAGCCAAAAUGUAUAAAUAAUCCAUGUACACCUUAAUGAGGAACUGAAUAAACCACAUUUAAUUAUACACCCUA